AACGAACGCUGGCGGCAGGCUUAACACAUGCAAGUCGAGCGCCCCGCAAGGGGAGCGGCAGACGGGUGAGUAACGCGUGGGAACGUACCUUUUGGUUCGUAACAACUCCGGGAAACUGGAGCUAAUACCGGAUAAGCCCUAACGGGGAAAGAUUUAUCGCCGAAAGAUCGGCCCGCGUCUGAUUAGCUAGUUGGCGAGGUAACGGCUCACCAAGGCGACGAUCAGUAGCUGGUCUGAGAGGAUGAUCAGCCACACUGGAACUGAGACACGGCCCAGACUCGGAAGGGAGGAAGCAGUGAGGAAGAGUGGGCAAGGGGGGAGAGCGUGAACCAGCAAAGUAGCGGGCAGGAGGACGGCCCUAGGGGGGGGAAACUGCUUUUAUGCGGGGAUAAAGUGAGGGACGGGUCCUUCAUUGCAGGUACCGGAUGAAUAAGGACCGGCUAACUCCGUG
rnacentral:rRNA from 1 species